GGAAAAAAUGAAAGUUAAACGGUAAAAAUUGUGUGAUGAAAUGCAUAGAUAAAACGACAACCUUACUGGAUAUCCUAUGAGAUAGUGGACGGAUCGGGUAUAUAGGAAACCCUACUGUGAACGUUGUCUCAUACCGAAUGGGGUAUGAAGACUUGACAAUUUGGCGCUCAUACUGGACGGGGUAUAGGGACGACCCGUUUCGCUCUCAUAGCGGACGAAGUAUUGAGGUUUGGUA
rnacentral:lncRNA from 1 species